UGAAUACGUUCUCGGGCCUUGUACACACCGCCCGUCACGUCAUGGGAGCCGGUAACGCCUGAAGUCGAUGGGCUAACCCGAAAGGGAGGCAGUCGCCGAAGGCGGGACUGGUGACUGGGACGAAGUCGUAACAAGGUAGCCGUACGGGAACGUGCGGCUGGAUCACCUCCUUUCUAGGGAG
rnacentral:rRNA from 1 species